UUAGCAGCCACGUGGUGCUACUUGCGUUUCUCUCUCUGCGGCUGGGGCUUGGUACUUUGUCUCGGGGACGUUAAACUGGCCGAUUUCGGGUGAAGUUUGGUCCCGUGGCGCCGCCUUAGUCCAGCUGCCUGUGAGGCGAGCCAGCCAGUCCGUGCACACGUGUAGCGGGCGUGCCGGAGCAGCCCUGCAGACAUCUUGAGUGUGGUUGCCUGGGGAGAGGAAACCCGCGGAGCUGCGGGGAGCCGGGGGGGUUGGCACGCUGCAAUCCGGCGGCGCUGUGCACGUUAGGCAGCGGGGAAGAGUCCCCUGCGGGAGCCGGGGUGAGUUCAGUUCACCGCGCUUCGCUGUCAGCCGCUUGGACGUGUUGCAAUCCCAGCGCACGUUUGCGGGGCUUCACCAGCACCGCGUCCCUGCAAACUGUGCUGCAGAGGUGACCAAUAUAGAUGAAGUUCCCCGUGAAGGUGCAUUUGAGUCGGGGACACGUUGGUGUCUCCCAGCGCCAAUGAGGAUCCAGGAGCAGUUCAAGGGGAAAUACAAUACCUCAGUGAAAUGAGCUCGUUCCGUUUUCAGCAUUGUCUGGCUCUGCAUUGCAUAAAACAGUCUGAUUGGGGUGGGCUGCAGAAGCAGUGCUUAACUUGCCCACUGAUCUGUACAGGUUGUUCUGGGUGAGAAUGACAGCCCCAGCCCUGCAGUUGUCCUUUGUUAUCCAUACAGAAUAGGAGCAAUGUUAUCACAUGCCAAAACGUGUAAUCAGCUGUCCUGCCUUGAGUGCAGGGGACUGGACUAGAUGACCUCUGGAGAUCCCUUCCAGUCCUAUAAUUCUAUUUGACCUGCAUUAUACGACUACACUUUGUCCACUCUGCAGUUGCUUCUUUUCUAUUGUCCCCAGAGUCACUGCAGUAAUUACAUAAGGAGAAGUACUGAAUUGGUGCCUUGUUAAACAUUACAAGCAAUUUCACCUCUGAGAGACACAUAACCCCUGAUGUUUGGUCCUUGCAUGGUGGUCUGUAAUUGUCAGAGGUCUUACUGAGGUCAGAUUUGUAGGGUGAUCUUGUACCACCAUGUAGCAGUAGGUGUUUUUCCUUCUGUAAAGUAGAAACUUGGUGCAGUUACUCUGUGGACCUUUAAGGAUAUAUUUUAGCUGUUGUAUUUUUUAUUGGCAUCACACUUCAAGAUAGGAACAUAGUGGGCCUUGGUUUAUUAUACAACAAAAUAAUUAAACUGCAGACAGAUUUAAACUAGAUACUGGGAAAGCUUUCUAACUAUGAAAAUAGUUAAGUACUGGAAUUGGUUACCUAGGGAGAUUGAGGAAUCACCAUCACUGAACGUUUUUAAGGUUAGACAAACAUCUGUCAGGGAUAGGGUGACCAGACAGCAACUGUGAAAAAUUGGGACGGGGGAUGGGGGAGGGGGGGUAAUAGGAGCCUAUAUAAGAAAAAGACCCAAAAAUUGGACUGUCCCUAUAAAAUCCAGACAUCUGGUCAGCCUAGUCUGGGAUGGUCCAGAUACACUUAAUCCUGCCUCGGCAUAGGGGGGAUGGACUCGACUUCUUGAGCCCUACAUUUCUGUGGUACACAACUACCGUGACUGCACGUGCAUGUCAAUUGACUGCAUAUGCUUUUGGCUCAGUGAUCAUUUUAAACACAGUGGUAAUGCAAAUUAUCCAUGAAAUUGCAUGUCCGUCUUUUUUAGUUCUUAAAUAUCAAGUCAGUAUGUCCCUCUAGCAGGGAUUUGCAGAUUACAAGACUAUACACGUGUGAAGAAACUACCCUUCUUGAACAAUCAGCUUUGUUAGACGUUUACAAGUGCUUUAGUUAAAAUCCAAACAUUCCAGCCCAUCUAAAGUGGCAAUUAACUGCUUUGAAAUGAUAUAAUCUGAUACUAUUGUGCUGGUGCACAAGAUUGUGUGAAGUACAUUCACCGUGGGUGCAAUCCUGCUGUCCAUACACCCUUCUUACUUGGGAAAGAGGCCUGUUAGAAUGCAGUGGAAGUUCUGCCCAACUAAGGCCACAGGAUUUCAUACAGUGCACUAAAUUUCCAGUUGGCAAGUCACAGAAAAAGUGAUAUGGAACAAGCUUCAGUUGUAUCAAGUAUUUUGAAACCUUAACUAUGCUGCAAUUAAAUGUUUUCACAAGCCUUCUGGCAAACAGAUGUGACACCCUUACAUUAGUAUUAUAUAACAGAUAGUAGUCAGACACAUGAGCAGGGAAAAAACUCAAGUUAGAACUACUGCUUUUUUUUUUUUUUAAUGUGCCCACCACCCUAAACCAGUGAAUUAUGAAUUUGGAAGGGUUUUAUGUAAGUCACCUACUAGUCAACAAUAAUAUUCCCUUGGCGAUAAUGAAAAGUAUGUUUUGGAAUGGUUCCCAACCAUGUGACUUAUUACUGCCAUAAAUCUGUACUGUUUCCACUUUU